GGCCGGUUAGCUUAGCUGGUUAGAGCGUGGGGCUAAUAACACAAAGCUCGCGGGUUCUAUCCCCGUAUGGGCCA
rfam:Macaca mulatta chromosome 4, whole genome shotgun sequence.